rnacentral:rRNA from 1 species
GAUGAACGCUGGCGGCGUGCCUAAUACAUGCAAGUCGAGCGAACAGACGAGGAGCUUGCUCCUCUGACGUUAGCGGCGGACGGGUGAGUAACACGUGGAUAACCUACCUAUAAUACUUGGAUAACUUCGGGAAACCGGAGCUAAUACCGGAUAAUAUAUUGAACCGCAUGGUUCAAUAGUGAAAGACGGUUUUGCUGUCACUUAUAGCUGGAUCCGCGCCGCAUUAGCUAGUUGGUAAGGUAACGGCUUACCAAGGCGACGAUGCGUAGCCGACCUGAGAGGGUGAUCGGCCACACUGGAACUGAGACACGGUCCAGACUCCUACGGGAGGCAGCAGUAGGGAAUCUUCCGCAAUGGGCGAAAGCCUGACGGAGCAACGCCGCGUGAGUGAUGAAGGUCUUCGGAUCGUAAAACUCUGUUAUUAGGGAAGAACAAAUGUGUAAGUAACUAUGCACGUCUUGACGGUACCUAAUCAGAAAGCAACGGCUAACUACGUG